CAGGCCUAACACAUGCAAGUCGAACGAAGCACUUUCUUUAGAUUCUUCGGAUGAAGAAGACUGUGACUGAGUGGCGGACGGGUGAGUAACGCGUGGGCAACCUGCCCUGUACAGGGGGAUAACAGUUAGAAAUGACUGCUAAUACCGCAUAAGCGCACGAAGACGCAUGUUCUUGUGUGAAAAACUCCGGUGGUACAGGAUGGGCCCGCGUCUGAUUAAGUAGUUGGUGGGGCAGCGGCCUACCAAGCCGACGAUCAGUAGCCGACCUGAGAGGGUGACCGGCCACAUUGGGACUGAGACACGGCCCAAACUCCUACGGGAGGCAGCAGUGGGGAAUAUUGCACAAUGGGGGAAACCCUGAUGCAGCGACGCCGCGUGAANNAAGAAGUAUUUCGGUAUGUAAACUUCUAUCAGCAGGGAAGAAACUGACGGUACCUGACUAAGAAGCACCGGCUAAAUACGUGCCAGCAGCCGCGGUAAUACGUAUGGUGCAAGCGUUAUCCGGAUUUACUGGGUGUAAAGGGAGCGUAGACGGAGAGGCAAGUCUGAAGUGAAAGCCCGGGGCUCAACCCCGGGACUGCUUUGGAAACUGCAGUUCUAGAGUGCCGGAGNGGUAAGCGGAAUUCCUAGUGUAGCGGUGAAAUGCGUAG
rnacentral:rRNA from 1 species